GACGAACGCUGGCGGCGUGCUUAACACAUGCAAGUCGAACGGAAAGGCCCUGCUUUUGUGGGGUGCUCGAGUGGCGAACGGGUGAGUAACACGUGAGUAACCUGCCCUUGACUUUGGGAUAACUUCAGGAAACUGGGGCUAAUACCGGAUAGGAUCUCCUGCUGCAUGGUGGGGGUUGGAAAGUUUCGGCGGUUGGGGAUGGACUCGCGGCUUAUCAGCUUGUUGGUGGGGUAGUGGCUUACCAAGGCUUUGACGGGUAGCCGGCCUGAGAGGGUGGCCGGCCACAAUGGGACUGAGAUACGGACCAGAAUCCUACGGGAGGCAGCGGUGGGGAGUAUUGCGCAAUGGGCGGAAGCGUGAUGCGGCAACGCCGCGUGCGGGAUGACGGCCUUCGGGUUAUGAACCGCUUUCGCCUGUGACGAGGCGUGAGUGACGGUAAUGAGUAAGGAAGCACCGGCUAACUACGUG
rnacentral:rRNA from 1 species